ACAUUCCAGAAAACCAUGACCCCCUCCAUGAUGCAGGCUAUGGGGCCACAUAAAACUUUGUCCAGGGUUACUACAUAACAUAAAGAACCCCCUGAAUGAUGUAGGCUAUGGGGCCACAUAAGACUUUGUCCAUCCAGGGUUACAUAGCACGACAACUUUAAACUAAAGAACCCCCUGAAUGAUGUAGGCUAUGGGGCCACAUAAGACUUUGUCCAUCCAGGGUUAUGAUGAAUGCAAAAUUUAAACUAAAG